rnacentral:tRNA from 1 species
CCACUGGUGGUAUAGAGGCAGAAUUCUCACCUUCCAUGCUGGAAACCUGGGUUCGAUUCCUAGCCAGUGUA